rnacentral:ncRNA from 1 species
GACCCGAAAAGGCUACCCCUGAGAAAUCAGGGUGAGUGCGCAAAACCGUGGGGCUAAAGAUAGAUCUAAGCUAACAGGUUACCGACAAACGGAAAAUGUAAUAAGUAUUUAUUUGUUUAUCUAUCUUAUAAAGCCAGCCAGGUUGCCGAA